UACGUAGGGUGCAAGCGUUGUCCGGAAUUACUGGGCGUAAAGAGCUCGUAGGCGGUUUGUCGCGUCUGCCGUGAAAGUCCGGGGGCUCAACUCCGGAUCUGCGGUGGGUACGGGCAGACUAGAGUGAUGUAGGGGGAGACUGGAAUUCCUGGUGUAGCGGUGAAAUGCGCAGAUAUCAGGAGGAACACCGAUGGCGAAGGCAGGUCUCUGGGCAUUAACUGACGCUGAGGAGCGAAAGCAUGGGGAGCGAACAGG
rnacentral:rRNA from 1 species